UUUUUUUUCCUCCUGCAACCCUUUAGAAAGAGAGACAGGACAAAAGAAGAAUGUGUGUUCUAUAUGCACAAUUCUUUGCAGGCCUCUGACGAAGUACCUCAAAAGCUAAGCUCCCAUCAAUCCUGGAGAGAUAGAAUCAGCGGAGCAUAGUGAUGGAAUGAAUGGUUGAAAAGAACAGCGGUGACCAAAGAACUUUUUAUGCAGAGAAAACCCCAAAUCUGGGGCAAAGCCCUCCUGUUCAUUUUAUCUCACAAAAGGCCGAAAGUGGCAGGUCCUUAUGUCCUCAUGGACUUCCCUGGUGGCUCAGACGAUAAAGCGUCUGUCUACAAUGCAGAAGACCUGGGUUCGAUCCCUGGGUUGGGAAGAUCCCCUGGAGAAGGAAAUGGCAAUCCACUCCAGUACUAUUGCCUGGAAAAUCCCAUGGACAGAGGAGCCUGGUAGGCUGCAGUCCAUGGGGUCGCAAAGAGUCCGACACGACUGAGCGACUUCACUUUCACUUUAUGUCAUCAUACACUUUCCUUGUUGUGUGAUUUAAGGCAUAAACACUAUGACAAUAUUUAAGGUUUUGUUUCUUGAUAUUAAAACCCAAACUUUAGAACUGAGAAAAAUCUGCCCCCACUUGGUCACUUGACUCUUACAAUUGAACAUUAUAGCUCUUUAGACUUCUCCCACAUAUAUUUAUGAAGUCUACCUAGCUAACUCAAUUCACUUCUUUGUUCUGGGGCUCCCAUCCUCCUUGUGGGGCAAUAACUGUCAUACACUUACUUGGUGCAGGGCUACUGGCAAUAUAUAGGAGUCAGGUAAGAAAAAUACCCAGAUUACAUUUCCAAAUUCAUAACCUAAUUUACAUAAAAUGUUCUAGACUCCUAAGAACUUGGUUGGAUGUGAGAGCUGGACCAUAAAGAAGGCUGAGUGCCAAAGAAUUUUGCUUUUGAACUGUGGUCUUAGAGAAGACUCUUGAGAGUCCCUGGGACUAUGAGGAGAUCAAACCAGUCAAUCCUAAAGGAAAUCAACCCCAAAUAUUCAUUGGAAGGACUGAUCCUGAAGCUGAAGCUCCAAUACUUUGGCCACAUGAUGCAAAGAGCUGACUCAUUGGUAAAGAUCCUGAUGCUGGGAAAGAUUGGGGGCAGGAGGCGAAAGGGAUAACAGGGGAUGAGAUGGUUGGAUGGCAUCACUGAAUCAAUGGAUGUGAGUUUGAACAAACUCCAGGAGAUAGUGAAGGACAGGGAAGCCUGGAGUGCUAGAGUCCAUGGGAUCACAAAGAGCUGGACAUGACUGAGUGACUGAAUGCCAACAACAACUUUGGUAUGUAUUUUAGAAAGCAUUGAGUAUUGGUAACACCAAUAAUUAAAAACUAGUCUUCAAACAAAGUCCUACUGUAUAGCACAGAGAACUAUGUUUAACAUCUUAUGAUAAAUCAUAAUGGAAAAGAAUAUAAAAAAGGAUGUGUAUAAAUAUGUGUGUGUGUGUGUGUGUGUAACUGAAUCACUUUGCUCCAUAGCAGAAAUUAACACAACAUUGUCAAUCAACUAUACUUCAAUAAAAAACAAACAAACU
rnacentral:lncRNA from 1 species